CUUUGUAGUCAUAUUACACUGCAGCUCUCAAAUGGCUACCCACUGAAGCUAAGCGGGGUUGAGUCAGUACCUGAAUGGGAGACCUCCUGGGAAGCUAUGGUUGCUACUGGAA
rnacentral:rRNA from 1 species